rnacentral:rRNA from 1 species
UACGAAGGGGCGAGCGUUAUUCGGAAUCACUGGGCGUAAAGCGUGCGUAGGCUGUUCUGCAAGUCAGGAGUGAAAGCCCAAGGCUCAACCUUGGAAGCGCUCUUGAAACUGCAGGACUCGGAUUUGGGAGAGGAUAGUGGAAUUUCCUGUGUAGCGGUGAAAUGCGUAGAUAUAGGAAGGAACACCAGUGGCGAAGGCGACUACCUGGACUGAUACUGACACUGAGGUGCG